rnacentral:rRNA from 1 species
GACGAACGCUGGCGGCGUGCUUAACACAUGCAAGUCGAACGGUGAAGCUCCAGCUUGCUGGAGUGGAUCAGUGGCGAACGGGUGAGUAACACGUGAGCAACCUGCCCCUGACUCUGGAAUAAGCGCUGGAAACGGCGUCUAAUACUGGAUACGAGAAGGGUCCGCAUGGGCACUUUCUGGAAAGUUUGUCGGUUGGGGAUGGGCUCGCGGCCUAUCAGCUUGUUGGUGAGGUAAUGGCUCACCAAGGCGACGACGGGUAGCCGGCCUGAGAGGGCGACCGGCCACACUGGGACUGAGACACGGCCCAGACUCCUACGGGAGGCAGCAGUGGGGAAUAUUGCACAAUGGGCGAAAGCCUGAUGCAGCGACGCCGCGUGAGGGAUGACGGCCUUCGGGUUGUAAACCUCUUUCAGCAGGGAAGAAGCGAAAGUGACGGUACCUGCAGAAGAAGCACCGGCUAACUACGUG